rnacentral:rRNA from 1 species
UACAGAGGGUGCAAGCGUUGUUCGGAAUUAUUGGGCGUAAAGCGCGUGUAGGCGGCUUUGCAAGUCGGGUGUGAAAGCCCUCAGCUUAACUGAGGAAGUGCGCCCGAAACUGCUCGGCUUGAGUACCGGAGAGGAUGGCGGAAUUCCCCAAGUAGAGGUGAAAUUCGUAGAUAUGGGGAGGAACACCGGUGGCGAAGGCGGCCAUCUGGACGGAUACUGACGCUGAGACGCGAAAGCGUGGGUAGCAAACAGG